GAUGCUGCCUGGUGACGUAGGCCGUGUGAGUAAGAGCUCGGAGAACUAACAGAAGUAGGUGUUGUGAGCCAACAUGACCUUUUCAUGAAAUUUAACAACAGAUUAGGAUGAGCUCUUAACAUUCUACAUAAUGGAUUAUGAUUUCU